rnacentral:rRNA from 1 species
GGGGGGGGGGGGGGGGGGGGGUGGGGGAUGCGGGUGGGGGGAGGGGGCGAGGAGCGUGGGGCUCUGAUGGUGGCGGCGGGGGGGUGGGUGACGGGUGGAUAGCCUACCUAUAGGACUGUGAUAACUUCGGGAAACCGGAGCUAAUACCGGAUGAUAUUUUGACGCGCAUGGUUCAACAGGGAAAGACGGUCUUGCUGUCACUGAUAGAUGGAUCUGAGCUGCAUUAGCUAGUGGGGAAGGUACCGGGUUACCCAGGCAACGAUGCAUAGCCGACCUGAGAGGGUGAUCGGCCACAAUGGAACUGAGACACGGUCCAGACUCCUACGGGAGGCAGCAGUAGGGAAUCUUCCGCAAUGGGCGAAAGCCUGACGGAGCAACGCCGCGUGAGUGAUGAAGGUCUUCGGAUCGUAAAACUCUGUUAUUAGGGAAGAACAUAUGUGUAAGUAACUGUGCACAUCUUGACGGUACCUAAUCAGAAAGCCACGGCUAACUACGUG